GACGAACGCUGGCGGCGUGCCUAAUACAUGCAAGUCGAACGGUUUAGUUCCAAGAGGCUUGCCUUUUGGAACUAGACAGUGGCGGACGGGUGAGUAACACGUAGGCAACCUACCUGUCAAACCGGGAUAACCUCGGGAAACCGAAGCUAAACCCGGAUAAGCUCCUUUUUCGCAUGAAGGGGGAGUGAAAAGGUGCGACCUGAUGACAGAUUGGCCUGCGGCGCAUUAGCUAGUAGGUAGGGUAACGGCCUACCUAGGCGAUGAUGCGUAGCCGACCUGAGGGUGAGUAAGGCUAGACUGGGAAUGAGGUCCGGCCUACUAUGCUACGGGAGGCAGGAGUAGGGAAGCUUCGGCGAGGGGCGAAAGCCUGACCGAGCAACGCCGGGUGAGUGAGGAAGGCCUUCGGGAUGUAAAACUCUGUUGUAUGGGAAGAAGGGAAAGGGUAGGACCCUUUGGUGACGGUACCAAACGAGAAAGCCCCGGCUAACUACGUG
rnacentral:rRNA from 1 species